GGGGUUGUGGCUCAGUGGUAGAGCACCUAUUUAGCACCUGUGAGGCACUGAGUUUGAUCCUCAGCACCACA
rnacentral:tRNA from 1 species